UACGUAGGGUGCGAGCGUUAAUCGGAAUUACUGGGCGUAAAGCGUGCGCAGGCGGUUCGUUGUGUCUGAUGUGAAAGCCCCGGGCUCAACCUGGGAAUGGCAUUGGAAACUGGCGAGCUAGAGUGUGGCAGAGGGGGGGUGGAAUUCCGCGUGUAGCAGUGAAAUGCGUAGAGAUGCGGAGGAACACCGAUGGCGAAGGCAGCCCCCUGGGCUGACACUGACGCUCAGGCACGAAAGCGUGGGGAGCAAACAGGA
rnacentral:rRNA from 1 species